rnacentral:rRNA from 1 species
CCCUUAGAUGUCCUGGGCUGCACGCGCGCUACACUGAUGUGUCCAGUAAGCACCUAACCUCUUCCGAAAGGAUCGGGUAACCUUUGCAAAGCACAUCGUGAUGGGGAUAGAUUAUUGCAAUUAUUAGUCUUGAACGAGGAAUUCCUAGUAAGCACAAGUCAUCAGCUUGUGUUGAUUACGUCCCUGCCCUUUGUACACACCGCCCGUCGCUCCUACCGAUUGAAUGUUCCGGUGAGCUCUUCGGACUGCGCGGUCUGCAGUUUCUGCGUUCCGUGCGGAAAGUUGCGCAAACCUUAACAUUUAGAGGAAGGAGAAGUCGUAACA